rnacentral:rRNA from 1 species
UACGUAGGGUGCGGAGCGUUGUCCGGAAUUAUUGGGCGUAAAGAGCUGCGUAGGCGGUCUGUCGCGUCGGUCGUGAAAACUUGGGGCUUAACCCGCUGAGCUUGCGGUCGAUACGGGCAUGACUGGAGUUCGGUAGGGAGACUGGAAUCCUGGUGUAGCGGUGAAUGACGCAGAUAUCAGGAGGAACACCGGUGGCGAAGGCGGGUCUCUGGGACGGUACUGACGCUGAGACGCGAAAGCGUGGGGAGCAAACAGG